rnacentral:rRNA from 1 species
AGGGAUAGGGUCGGUUCGGCCGGAUUUCACACAGGUGUUGCAUGGCUGUCGUCAGCUCGUGUCGUGAGAUGUUGGGUUAAGUCCCGCAACGAGCGCAACCCUCAUCCUUAGUUACCAUCAGGUAAUGCUGGGGACUUUAAGGAAACUGCCAGUGAUAAACUGGAGGAAGGUGGGGAUGAUGUCAAGUCAUCAUGGCCCUUAUGGAGUGGGCUACACACGUGCUACAAUGGUGGCUACAAUGGGCUGCAAAGUCGCGAGGCUAAGCUAAUCCCUUAAAAGCCAUCUCAGUUCGGAUUGUGCUCUGCAACUCGAGUACAUGAAGUUGGAAUCGCUAGUAAUCGUGGAUCAGCAUGCCACGGUGAAUACGUUCUCGGGUCUUGUACACACUGCCCGUCACGCCAUGGGAAUUGGU